rnacentral:rRNA from 1 species
UACGGGGGGGGCAAGCGUUGUUCGGAAUUACUGGGCGUAAAGGGCGCGUAGGCGGCCUGCUAAGUCGGACGUGAAAUCCCCCGGCUCAACCGGGGAACUGCGUCCGAUACUGGUGGGCUCGAAUCCGGGAGAGGGAUGUGGAAUUCCAGGUGUAGCGGUGAAAUGCGUAGAUAUCUGGAGGAACACCGGUGGCGAAGGCGGCAUCCUGGACCAAUAUUGACGCUGAGGAGCGAAAGCCAGGGGAGCAAACGGG